AUUGAACGCUGGCGGCAUGCCUUACACAUGCAAGUCGAACGGCAGCACGGGAGCAAUCCUGGUGGCGAGUGGCGAACGGGUGAGUAAUAUAUCGGAACGUGCCCGGUCGUGGGGGAUAACGUAGCGAAAGCUACGCUAAUACCGCAUACGAUCUAUGGGAUGAAAGCGGGGGAUCGCAAGACCUCGCGCGAUUGGAGCGGCCGAUAUCAGAUUAGGUAGUUGGUGAGGUAAAGGCUCACCAAGCCGACGAUCUGUAGCUGGUCUGAGAGGACGACCAGCCACACUGGGACUGAGACACGGCCCAGACUCCUACGGGAGGCAGCAGUGGGGAAUUUUGGACAAUGGGCGCAAGCCUGAUCCAGCAAUGCCGCGUGCAGGAUGAAGGCCUUCGGGUUGUAAACUGCUUUUGUACGGAACGAAACGGUGAGCUCUAAUACAGUUUGCUAAUGACGGUACCGUAAGAAUAAGCACCGGCUAACUACGUG
rnacentral:rRNA from 1 species